rnacentral:lncRNA from 1 species
UCAUAGCUUGGAUAUUAUACAGGGAUAGGUGGGCUGCCAGCUCUUAUCUUAUUCACAGAACAUCCCUUAGGCAUUAAGGUUUUGUUUGAACAAAAAAUGGUAUACUGGUUUUAAUUGUUAGGCUCUUUUCAUUUCACUUUCUAAGGCUCAUCUAUGUUUUUCUCUUUUCCUCCUUUGAGAACGAGAUCUGUUGUAAAAUUUCAAGUGACUGUGCCAACUGGGGAAUGCUCUCUGCACAUUACAAAGUCCCUUGGCCUCCCAGCCUCAGGACUCCACCAGUGUGAGAUGAGGAAGAACCAUGCCCUGGUCUCAUGGGAAUGAGAGUCCUCUUCCCCUAUCCCUGAGAGGACUUCACCCAUAUUAAGGCAGGGACCUAAGGACUGGCUGGA